GAGGUCACAGUCACAGCACUGCCUUUAUUCACAGGUAUUGGGGGUGAAGAUUUCAGCAUCUUUUAGGGAGACGCUCAGGCUCUGAUGCGCCUGCAGACCUUCCCCUCUCCUGUGCAGAAAAUCCCCUGUUAAUCCCACAGCAGAGACUCGCCUGCUCUACAUUAAUGCUGUGUGUUACGUUCCUAGUGUCUUCUUGAGAAAAGACAUUUCUUGAACAUAAAUUUCUGAGUUUAAGCUUCAAAAAACACUGAAGUAAGCUAAGGAUCCUUGUUAAAUCAGAUGAGAAUAUUAUUAACCAGCAUUAACAUCAUUAUUCUAAUCCUCAAGUCGAAGUCACCAGGAAGACCAAGAACCAGGGGUUAGAGCUUCCAUGUGUCUUUUUAGGGGACACAACUCAACCCACAAUACAGGCUGUGACAAGCAGAGCUUCCUUGGGAGGGUCGUAAGCCAGGCUCCCUCACUCAGGAUAAGAAGCAGAGCUCCCAGUGUCUCCCAGCAUUUCUCAAGCAGUUAGGGUUCUCUCUGCAGGCUUGGUCCCUGACUUCAGAGAUGGGUCUGCUGGGUCAGCUGACUGUCAGGAUAUGGAGGUGAAGGACAAUGACAACCUUGUUCUGCUUUCCACAUUCCUCUUUUGCAGAUGCUGGCUGAGUUGGCUGGACAGUGAGCAGCAAGGUGGGGGUGCCUGAUGCGUUUGAGUAUAUCAUACAUUCCCGUUCUUGGGUGGUCAGCUUUGUUCUCUGCACCAGCCCUUUCUCAUUUCACUCUUUGGUUCCAAGUGGUGCCUCUGGAUGAAAAGUAACCCACAGGCACAUGGGGAGGCUGAGAUUUAGCCGGCAGGGCUAGGAGCUGUUUUCUGACUGCAGAUCAGUAUCAGGAGAAGCAGACAUUUCUCUGUGCUGACUUGAGAUCCCAAGCAAAACAAAACAGCUACCAAGCACUGCUGCUCUGAUGUGCAGCCUGCUGCCCCGUGGCCUAAGAAAGCAAUGGGUCAGAUUGAUCGCUGUGCUCUUUCUAGAAAUUUCUAGGAAACGCCUGGGAUGGUACAAGUGGCCUGAAGCCAGAAAGUAUUUUUGCUUCUCCGAGUUGAGUGUUUAUCAGAUGUUUUUCCCCCAUAAAACAAACUCUGUUGAUUUGAAUGCCAUGAUCUUUCCUUAAAGAGUGUCUGGUCAUUAUGGAUUCAGUUCUGUGAACAUCCACUUCUCAGUCUUUCUCCUGAGCAGGGUUCUCGAAUCCCUGCUCUGGUGGUCGUGACUAGAUGAUUGGAAGGAGCUGGUCACGGAGAGCGCUGUGGUCUCUCUCCUCUCUUCCUGGCUCAGGACAUGAAGAGAAGCCAUGAGAAGGUGUUUCAGCCCAUGGGCCCAUCAAAGUGGCAGCUGCAACCAGCAUCAUCUCCAGACGUGGGAGAACAGCCUUGGGUGACCCAGCCGCCCACCUGGGAGCUGCCCCGGUGACAGUUCUAGUUGCAGCACACGGAUCUUUCGCUGUGGCACCUGGGCUUUGUUGCCCCCCAGCAUGCCCCUGAGUGAGGAUUCAACCAACCCCUGCAUUGCAAGGAGGAUUCUUAACCACUGGACCACCAGGGAGGUCCCUGGCGGUUGAUUUUUAUAGUGCAAAAGAUAACUGGUGAACAUUCUCCCUCUGUUUAUGCUGAUGGCUUCUUAUUUUUCUUACUGCUCACUAUUUGGAAUAAAGUUAUUUAUUUCUUAA